rnacentral:lncRNA from 1 species
AGACUGAGGUAAAAUCAAACAAGUGAAUCAGAAUGAUAUUCAAUUGCAAUUAGCCACGCCUAGAGGUACAAUGGAGGACUGAAAAGGUCUAAAUGAGUGUUUUGUUCAUUUCUGUCACUUAAGCGACAGAGUGCCAAAAAAGCGAAAUGGAAAUCAUGCAUGAUGCUCUCAUUAGCUCUUGUUGUUCACAGAGACUCGUGGCAGGAAUGACACACGAGUGAUAUGCAUUGUGUUGGAUUUGGUGACUGUUACGUUGGAGUGUGGCGUGAAGAGACUUGGGGACAUUAAAUCACUGAGAGUUCUCAUGCAAGACAGACUCUGCCAUCACUUACUUACUGUAAAUGAGCAACUUUACGAAAACGAAUCUGUUGAUGUUUUUGGUCGCUCUUUGACAAAGUGCUUUCUUCUUUUUGAUUCAAAUUGUCAUCAUCUCAAACUACAGCUGGAGUGGUUCCUUAAUAAGCUAAUGCACACAAUACAAUUAGAUCAGUCAAGACUUUAAGCAGGCAGACAAGAGCUAACAUUAGAAUGUCUCAAUUCAAUUUUGUCACAUUCAUAAUUUUGUAUCAGAGUUAUAUGUUAAUUAUGAUUGCAGUACCUACUGUACUAACGUGUGCGAGAGACUGAGCAAACUACUUGCUAAGUACGGGGUAUUUUGCUAAAUAUUAUUACAGCAAGCAUUCCCCAGCUCUUAUCACACGAUAUCAUCAACCAACAUAAUUAGCAAUGGAAACACUACUGGCAAUGAUACUGGCAUUAGA